rnacentral:tRNA from 1 species
GGGCACUUAGUUCAGUGGGAGAACGCUUGCUUCACACGCAAGAAGUCACAGGUUCAAAUCCUGUAGUGCCCA